GCCUUGUUAACUGGGUUUUCUUCUUUGCUGAAGUGGAAAAGCUCAAGAAUAUUUUUUUCAAAGAAGGAUAUAUCGAGUAAGAGUCCACGAAAUGCUGGAUCUGCAGAUGAAGUUUUACUUGACAAAUACGUACCUGCAAAUGCAAGUUGUCAGUUUUGAAGGAUGAGAUUACUGGUUCAGAAUAACUUUCUUAAACUGGAGGAUAAGCAAGCUGCUUUGAGAAAGCCCUUGGCAAUGAAAAUUCAAGAUCUAUAUGAAUCCGGAAUACUGCCCUUGUAGUAUGAAACACCGUAUUGAAGUUUUGGGUGUAACCUCGGCAGUUGGCCGUUGGCUCUUGUACCUGUAGUACUGCAGGAUGAAUUGAGAAUCAUUAACACACCUUUUCUGAAGAAUGCAGUGGCUAAGAGCAGUCAUUAUUUGAUCCUUACAAGACUAUUUGAAGCAUGCUGAAGAAUGCAAUGGCUAAAAGCUGCUGUUAUUUGAUCAUUACAAGACACUAUUUGAAGCAUGCUGAAGAACGCAGUGACUAAGAGCAGCUAUUAUUUCAUCAUUACAAAGCUCAAUUUGAAGUUUGGUGAAGAAUGCAGUGGCUAAGAGCAGUCAUUAUUUGAUCAUUACAAGGCGCUAUUUGAAGCAUACUGUUGAGAAAAUUACUGAAAUCUUUAAGUUAAGAAAGCAGAGUUGGCUGGAUUCCUUCAGGGCCAUAUUUGAAGUACUGUUAUUAACACGAAUGGAUUUUCUUCUGGGACCCCUGCUGUUACUUAAAGCAGAUUGUUAGACUGAAGACCUUAUUUCGAGAGCUGCUGCUUGUCAGACAUUGAUUUUUUUAAAAACCUUUACGUGCAGUUACUGGAAGAAUAAAAUUUGUAAUGGUCCACGGGUCCUGGAAGACAGCCUUCCAGAUGGUCAACAGCAUAGUUCGAGGGCCGUUUUUACCAAGCUUAAAAGCGUCACUAGAAAUGAACCUGCUUUUCUAACCUUCCAUGAUUGAGGUACAGAUGUCUACCAGUAUUCCAAGACAAAAAAUGUACGAAUUUGGGAAGAAAAAACACGGAACCUGUAUCACAACACUGGCUUCAGGAGAGAGGACGCGUUUCUGAGCAGAGAGGCACCCAUCAGAGCAGAGGGUCCUCUCAUGGAAAUGGUGAUUACGGAGUUUCGUCUGGUUUUAUGCUCUUAGGAGAUGGAACAAAGCCCUCAGGUCAUUCAUGUCCUUUUCUAUACUUUGUUGUUUCCCUUGGCUCUAUUGAAGUACUUGGUGAAUUUUCCAUUGAUGGAAUUUCAGUAAAGAUUUCUCUGGUGUAUCUUGGGUACACUGUGAGUCAGACGGCUGUCAUGACUACCACUGUAUACAUUCAUCUACUUUAACUUAUGGCUGUAACUUUGAAAAUGCAUGUAAUGGUUCUCUGGACAUGUCCUGACAUCUGUUAUAAUUUGUCCGUAAGUUCACUUAUGUUUAAAGUUUGAUUAUUCUGAGGCAAAAAUUUCCAAAUGUGUCUUUCUCAACAGCAAUAAUUAGGAAUGUGUGUGGUAUUUAGUCUGUUUAAUCAUCGUUCAAUCAUCGGAAUAUAAUUUCUUAAUUUGUAGCUUUAGUUUGUUAGUAAUUUAGUUACUAGCUACUAUACUCUGUUUUUUUUUCCAUCUGUCCAUCCGCUUGUGGUAUUUGCACAUGGUAACACUGGGUCCCGGGCUUUAAAUAAUAUCAUAUUUCGAAUAUUAAGUGUAAUUCGCAUACAGUAAAUUAUUGAAACACUUUUCAGUUGCAAAUGCACACCCAGAUAUCCUUUUAUCCACCUAAAACUUAGUCAUAGCGUAACUAUUUAAAGCCCGGGACACGGUGUUACCAUACGAAAACACCACAGGCAGAUGGACAGAUGGAAAAAAACAGAGUAUAGUUGUAUGGAUAAUCGUAUUAGUAACUGGCUUUGUUUUAAAAAAAUUAUAACAGACUGCUAAGGUUUUUUUAAUCAUCUCCGUAAACAUCUACGUACUUUGAAGUAUGUGUCCUGAUUUCUGCAUUAUAGACUCAAGUUUAUAUGAACCUCUUAUUUUCUUUUACAAGUAAGUUUAGAGAAGUUGGAAAUGUUGCUAAAAUUCUUGUCAAAUGCCUUGUAAACGUAACGGAAAAAAAUAUUCAGGUAUUUCAUAAACGAUUUGUUAUCCUUUUUAUCUUGAGUUACAAUACAUUUCAUAACUUGUGCUGGACGGCUAGUAAAUGGUUAGUACCAUCUUGAACGUGUCUUGAGUGUUGUUAAUAUUGUGUAUUUGACUUGAGCAGUAGUGAAUCACAGUGGCUGUCCUGGAAGGUGGUUAAAUUCUUGACGCUCUGCUUAGAAAAUAGUGAAUGAUGAUGAAGCAGGUUUUUAAAUAAUUCCUUGGAGAAAGACAGUGACAGGAAAUGUCAUAAGGCAAGGGAAGGAGUAUAGAAUUGUUCAUUACAAAUGUUUAGGGGUCCUACGUUAAUCAAAAUGAGGUGCUCCUGAAAAUGAUUUACAUGCAAGAUAGUAUAUCUCAGGUCAGUUAAAAAUAGGGUAUACCUAACAUUCUUUGGUUAGUGGGAAGUUUAUAAUUCUGACUUUUAUCGUUCCCUUGAGGCCUGUAUCCUAAAAAUGCUUCAGUAAAAAGCAAAUGCUACAGCACCCUUUCAUUGCGAUUUUGUAUUAUUGUUUUAGUACAGAAUUAUUGAUUUAUUCUUCACAUUUGUCACGCCACUUUAGUUAUAAUAAUUAAUUUUGUCUUAGCUUCCUGCUUCGAAGGGGGUAGUGCCGUUAGUGCAUCUCACUCGGUGCACUGUAGGCGUUACUGAAGGUUCUCUGCAGCAUCCCUUUGGUCCCUAGCUGCAACCCCUUUCAUUCCUUUUAUGUACCUCCCUUCAUAUUCUCUUCAACCUUGCUAACCAUCCUUUCUUAAUACUUGUUUUAUAGUGCAGCUGCGAGGUUUUCCUUCUGUUCACCAUUCAAGCCUUUUUACUAUUAUAUUUUCUUUCAGCGUUGAAUGACCUCAUAAGUCCCAGUGCUUUGCCUUUGGCCUAGAUUCUAUAGUCCAUCUUAGUUUCCUGGAGUGAAUACUCUGUAUUAUCUCUGGUCUUUGUCUAGUGAUAUUUUAGUUGAAAGUGUGUAAUGGAUUGUGUAUCUUAAGGCGGCGUUCUUCUCAAAGUCACGUCAUGUGAGGGAAGUAGUAUUGUAAAUUAAAUUACCUCGGGUUUUAAAUUUGUUGCAAAUUUUUCUUCAAAGCUGGUGGUUAAUGGUAAAUCAUGAGAUUUUGGUUUUUGAUCUAUCCAUCAACUCUUGGUUAAACAUUUCAUCUUCAAAUUCAAAGCUGAUUGCAAUUACAGUGUUGGUGUUAAGUUUUUACUUAUGUUUUGUAUUUGUUUUCGAAAAAUGUCUAAUUGUUCUCCAAGUUCAGGAGUCGAUAUUCAAUUUUGUUUGGGCAGUGUCUUACAUUUCGAAAUCUGGCUUGCUUUUAAAGUUUGUAAAAUCACAUUAGAAAUCAUUAUGUAAUUAGUUUACGAAUAUCUGUCUUAGUUUGAGUUUUUUAUUAGAUUGAAAUUAAUAAAUCUUUCAAUCCUUUCGAGUUGAGAGCUUGUUUAUACCUCAGGCUUUCUAUUAUGCGUCCUAGUGUGUUCAUUCGAGCAGGGAUAUUCGUGAUUGGAUGUAGAUAUUAAUUUACUGCUUUUACAGUACUUUUCCAAAUCUGAUUAUUUGUAUCGGAGAUAAUUAUUAUUUUGAUAAAAAUAUUUAGGCAUGUCCUGAGUUCAUGUAUUUUAAUAGUUAAUCUACUUGAAGUGAAAAGUUUUCAUAAUAACCUUCCAAGGGUUGUGUGUCAGGGAUUGCUAAGUGUAUCUGUUCAUAUUUCUGUGGGUGGAAUAAACACGGCUUGCAUGUAGUUAGUUUAUAGCUAAUUAGGACAAGACCAGUUCGUCAUAAAUCUACAUAGUUGUAUACAUGUUAAUAAAUGUAAAUGAUUGAUAUGCAAUUAGUACCUUAACAUCGCUAGUAAAGUUUGUAUUAACAUCUCCUCUGGCGCAAAAUAUUGGUUCACUAUUAACUGCCAUGACCUCAUUUUUGCCUUAAUGCCUGUACCCAGCACUGUUGAAAAUUUCUAACCAUUGAAUAAUAGAAUGAUGUGGCUGACUACAAACCCAUAACUGCUGUGCACUUUUGCGAAAGGAAUCGAUUGUAGUUUUAUGUAUAAGAGCUUUUAAAGCCUUCGUAUAUUUAGAAAAUAUUUGAGUUUUUCUAAUGAUUUUAUAUUGACCACGUGAUUAGCUGGAGUAAAUCAAUUUUCCGUAUUAAAAAAGUGUAUUUUCAUACCACUAAAACGCCCACUCAUGAUUAAAACCAUUUCAUGUUUAGUUCCUUUACUUUAGAUGGUAAUUCUUGUGGUUUAACAAGUCUCCAUUGACAGCCUGGAAAUUGUAAGACAUUUAUUUCAGUAUGGCUUAGCAUACAGCAUUUAAACGUUCAAACCUUAGAAACUUUAGAGAGAUGAGCGUUUGCAGGAGGAAUAUUUUACGGGACGCUUAUUGAAAUAAAUUUUUUUUUAAGUUAUUUAAUCAGAUGAUAAAUGUUUCGGAAUGUAGAAAUAACUUGCCUAAACUGCAUUAUCCAAGUGGUUCGUCAGAUCUACCGCUAAAUUAGUUCAAUUCAUAGUUUCAGCAAAAUGAACACAAUUUCAUGUUUUCAAUCGUCUUUAAACGUAAGGCAAACACUGGCUUACCUCAACGUUAACUUUAUGCCGUGUUAAAUUAACUUUUAACAGCUUUCAGCAGCGUAAAAACACAUUUGUAGACAUACUCCAUAAAAUUAACCUACAGUUACGUGAUUAGUAGAUGAAAUACAGAAAGUAAAGUUCACUCAACAUUGAGGUAUGGUAAUAAUCUAAGUCGGUAUAAAUACGGACGUAUUAUUUAUGUAAUCUUACUUGCAAUUCAUUCAGGUAUUUAGAUUAUUGCGUAAAUAAGCGAAGGUAGCAAUUGAAUGUGAUGGUGCCGAAUGUGUUAUUUUUUUUUUAUAAAAUUAUAAUUUACCUGUAUUGGCCCAUAAAAAAUGUACAUAAAUCAUUGCGUUGAAACUUCCCACAGAAAAGUAUAAUGAACGACCAUGCGUGACAAUGAGGCCGUGAAGCCAACCGAGUAUUAAAUUGAAUCUUAGUAAAAAAAAAUAAGGACUUUAGCUAUUAAUGUUCAAAGUUUUUCAUUACUAACCGUGCUCGCAAGUACCCACGAAUGUUUAUCUCGGUAACUAUUUUUCGUCGGAGUUUCAGACGAGGUGCUUAGUGUGUAGCAUUCUUAAGUCAUUGCAUCAUAACAUUUGGUUACAAACUUGAUAAUGUCAGUUAAAUCAUACUUUUAAAAAACGAAUUUAAGAAUGAUAGCUUGAUGAGUGUAUAGUAGAAUUAAGUAGGGAUAAGAGAUUUAAGUAGGUGUAUUUGUCAAGUACUAGAAAUAUCAAAGUGCAUGUAGAAAGUAGGAUAACUCGUGUGGAAGUCGAAUUAGAGGAGUUUGUAGUAAAUGCUCUGUUCAGUUCCAAUGGACGAGUAUCGAGUUAGGAUAAUAAGAGCCCGUAAAUCAUGGCACUGUUAAUGGCUGUGCAGUAGUGAAACAACAUAGGUCAUUCCGAAGUCUAUAGUUGGGUAAUUAAGUUUGUUUUUUCUUAGUGGUUUUUGUCCAGGCAAAUGUGGAGAGCCUGAGGGAACAUAGUCAUGCAGUUAAUUAAAAUGGUUGCUGUUUGUGUGUUUUAAAUUUUUUUCCUGUGGUUUGUCGAGUCUGUAUGGCUGAAAUGUAUUGUAACACAAGGUUAAUGGAUGAAUUGCAUUUAUUUUAUUUAAUAGAAGCAUAACUGGCAUUUUUCUUCGUUUAUAAAUCCCUUCAAAUGUUUUCUGAAGGACUUAAAUUUUCAUGACAAAAUACUUAGAAUUUUUCAAGUCUUGUAAAUUGGAAUUCAAAAACCAUGUAAAAUCAAAGUAAUAUGUUUAAGCAUUAUGAAUAAAUAAACUUAAACUAGAUUAUAUUUAACACCGAAUAAGUUAUAUAGAACAUGCUUACUAUAGUAAAGCAUUUUCAGGAAAAUUCGAGGUUCGUAUGUUUGCCUUUGUAACGAUACGUAGAUAAGUUUUUAGUUUUAAUAGCUUUCGUAGUAAAUAUUUACGCGAGCCAGUAAUUACUGUCUACGGAUAUUAGUUUAUUAGUCAAUUCUUAAUUUUUAGUCUCAAAGAAUUUCGUGGCGUGCUUAGAACAGUGUAGUACUAGUAAAUUUAUAUGUUUUGAGGACUUUUUAAUCAAUCUCGUAAAGUAACUUGAAAUUGUAAGCUUGCAAGUUGAUUCUCGUAAAAUUUAACUGAAUGGGCAAUGACUAAAGUUUUGAAGCAUAGGUAAUAAAACUCGAAAGUUAAGCCAUUUCAAGUUUGAAAGUUAAGUUUUGCGGGUUGAAAUUCUUAAAUUUGAACAAACUUCACUGAUAAACCGAGGAGUUUUAAAGUCCAGCUAUUAUCUCAAAAUUGCUUUGACUAAAUUUCCAAUGUCCCAAAUUCGAUUUAAACCCCCUGUAUGAGGUGAACGUGUGUUUAGCUUUAUAGCCUUAAUUUUCAUAAAGCUAAAGUUAAAACUUCCUUUUGAAAGGUGCUCACCAAUCGUCUUUUAAAUGGUGCUAUUUGGUAUAUUACCAGUAUCUAAGUAAUCCCUAAAGUUUUGAAUCCAUGUGAUUAUUGUAAAUUGUUUAAUUCUUAUUUAUCUUUACCUCCGUCAAUACUUAAAUUCGUUCAAUCAUAGCUGUGCGAUAAACUAAAAUUGUGAUAUUGGAUACACGUGCGAUAGAUUCAUUCCUGCGGACGUUUUAGUGGAAGUUCACAAAACACAGUAGUUCAGUUUAGUUAUUUCAAGACUUAACUGGCUUAUCAAUAAAAGUUUUCAAAGGAAAUGUUAACUAUAGUAGUCUCGCUACCGGCCACUUGCUAGACAAGCUAAUAUUUUAGGCACACCUGUCUUGCUGUUUAACAUGAGAUGGAUUCGGCUUAUUUCCUCGAUCUUGCUGUUUAACAAGAGACUGAUUCGGCUUAUUUCCUCGAACAAGAAAUAGUGUAGUAUAGGGUAUAGGUACAUUAAUUCUAUUUGGAAACUAAUGCCAAAGAAGAAUAUUUAGCAAGCAUUAGCAUAAAAAAACCUCAGGCAAACUAUAUCAGAUUUCAGGCCAUGCGUAUUCAGUCUCAUUGCAUGAUUUUUUAGAAACGGCCACAACAAGUUCGCUGAUGCAUAAUUGCUGGUAGUCGUGAUAACCCUAAGGCUCAUAUUGUACUUCUGCAACAUUAGAUUAAUUACUGAAAUCCUUGACAGAAUUACCAAGAGCAAGGUAAAGGCCAAGUCUGGAAAAGCAUAAGGUCACGUGAGAGGUUUGUUACAUUUCCUAUUAGCGUAAUAAAUAAAGCAAGCUCGUAACCACACUUUCAUUAGCAGAUGGCUUUCUACUGCUUUGUCCAGUUAAACUGGGUGUCUUCAGAAGGUGAAAAAUUCCUAACAUACUUGUAAGCACUGAUUAUCCCAGCUGGAUAGGUAUGAAAUGUUGUGUUUUUAAAACUUAAUUUUUUUUUCUGAAUUGGACCCUGAAAUUUUUAUAAUGGUUAAAUAAAAGUGCGU